rnacentral:tRNA from 1 species
CCGUACGCGGACUGGUUGAUCGCGAUCUUCGACCGGUGGUACGGCACGGCGCCGAUGCCGGUGCGGGUCCGGCUGUUCGGG